GACGAACGCUGGCGGCGUGCUUAACACAUGCAAGUCGAACGGUGACCCAGGGCUUGCCCUGGUGAUCAGUGGCGAACGGUGAGUAACACGUGGGCAACCUGCCCCUGACUUCGGGAUAACUCCUCGAAAGAGGAGCUAAUACCGGAUACGACCACUUCGGACAUCCGAUGGUGGUGGAAAGUUUUUCGGUCAGGGAUGGGCCCGCGGCCUAUCAGCUAGUUGGUGGGGUAAUGGCCUACCAAGGCGACGACGGGUAGCCGGCCUGAGAGGGCGACCGGCCACACUGGGACUGAGACACGGCCCAGACUCCUACGGGAGGCAGCAGUGGGGAAUAUUGCGCAAUGGGCGAAAGCCUGACGCAGCGACGCCGCGUGAGGGAUGAAGGCCUCGGUUGUAACCUCUUUCAGCAGGACGAAGCGAAAGU
rnacentral:rRNA from 1 species